rnacentral:rRNA from 1 species
AUUGAACGCUGGCGGCAUGCCUUACACAUGCAAGUCGAAUGGUAACAGGUCUUCGGAUGCUGACGAGUGGCGAACGGGUGAGUAAUACAUCGGAACGUGCCUAGUAGAGGGGGAUAACUACUCGAAAGAGUGGCUAAUACCGCAUGAGAUCUACGGAUGAAAGCAGGGGAUCGCAAGACCUUGUGCUACUAGAGCGGCCGAUGGCAGCUUAGGUAGUUGGUGGGAUAAAAGCUUACCAAGCCGACGAUCUGUAGCUGGUCUGAGAGGACGGUGGGCCACACUGGGACUGAGACACGGCCCAGACUCCUACGGGAGGCAGCAGUAGGGAAUUUUGGGCAAUGGGCGCAAGCCUGAUCCAGCAAUGCCGCGUGCAGGAUGAAGGCCUUCGGGUUGUAAACUGCUUUUGUACGGAACGAAAAGCCCCGGGUUAAUACCCUGGGGUCAUGACGGUACCGUAAGAAUAAGCACCGGCUAACUACGUGCCAGCCGCCGCCGUAA